UCAGAAGUCUAGCUUGUGAGCAAGCACAUAUUUAAGUGUUCUUUUUUCUCCAUGCUGAGGAAAUAUGCAAAAAUCUGAGGCCCAAAUAGAGAAAUUUAAAAAUGAACUUACAAUAUUGGAAAACAAAAUUUAACAUGUGAUGAAGUGACAUAUCAUGGGUUGCAAGCUGUGGGAGGGAACGGGGCCGAGUGGCAGCACAGGAAACAACCCUGAGGCGGGACUGCUGAGAUUCCUGUGGGAACAGGCUUCCAGUGGUAUCUCUCCGUGAGUGAAUUUCUCCUUUCCGUCAAGCCAUAGGGGCAGUAAAUGAACUCUCCCAUUGUGCAGGCUGGAUCUGAUCGUGAGUGGGUUGCCUGAGGCCGUCAGUGGGGUCAGUCAGCGUGGAGUGGUCUGUCUGGUGAUGGGGGUAGCCAUUUGUUCAUCCGUCCUUUUCACAUGUCAUUGAGUGUCACCUCUGUGCAAAGAACAGUAUUAAGAACUGAAAAUACAGUGAUGAAUCUUGUAGAUGUGGAUCUUGUUCCCACUACUUUGGAAAAUCAAUAUAUGAUUAGAACUUGGGCUACAUACAAUAAAGGAAAAGAAGAGGAGUCUGUGAUGCAGCAUGAUGGGGUGGGGUGGGGCACCAGCCUGUGGAAUAGGGUGGCCAGCAGUCAGAGUGGCAUUGCUUGACUUCCCAGGAGGCCCAAGGCCCGGGGGAGCAGGAGGCUAAGAAGAACGGCUACUUUGAGAGAGGAAGCUCACCUCACACAGCAGCAGAAGGAACAUGGGUGAAACUAGGACCACAUGACACAGCUAAAUGCACCCAUGCAUAGGGGUGGGUGGAGGGAGUGCCGCCAGCCAUGCAGCCUAGCUGUAUGUCAAAAUCCCCUGGGAGUGGGGGCUUAUUUUUUUUUUUAAAUCACAAAAGUAGAUACAUGCUUACUUAAAAUAUUUUUUUCAAAUUAUGUACAAAAGUAUAUAAAGCAAGAAAUAGUUCAGAUUUAUUGGGUACUGUCUUAGUUUACCUGGGCCGCUGUGACAAAUACCCCACAAUGGGUUGGCCUUAACAACAGUACUUGAUUGUCUCACUGUUUUGGAGGCUGGAGGUCCAACAUCAAGCUAUUAGCAGGGUUUGUUUUCUCCCAGAGGCUGUAGCAUUCUCGCAACCCUCGGACACAUGGCAACCUGCCUUUCUUUGUGUCCCCUCCUCUAGUUUCUGCUGACCUCAGGCUUCUUCUGACUCCCUUUAAUAGAGCAAGUAUUGGAUAUUAGAAUUUCCCAAAAGAUAUUGAGCACUUCAUUUGCUCCUACACACGUCUCUGAAAGGUCUCAGGUAUUUUCUCCACGUUACAUGUGUUUUGUGUCCUGUGUUUAAGGCCAGGAUCAAGCCCUGGAACUACCUCUCUCAAUUUUCCCUGCUUGGCCUUUUAAAAUCCCUUAUAACCUGCCUUUCAGUUAACAUGGGUUCCUAGUUCAAAGUUACUGCCUGUUCUGAUCAUGAAAUUAGUAAGUUUAUAUCUGGCCACUGGGUAUUUAUGUAUCACAAAAUGGGUUGUUGCUGAAGGGCUGGGGCAAGGCCUUUUCUCCAACCAUCUCUGGGGGUUCAUUGCUGUGAAUUUUAUGCCUUUUUACCCUAGGAAGUUUCACAAAUAAAUUUCUUUUCUCUUUUGCCAAUGUUGUAUCUAUGUCUGCAACAUGGACACUGUUUUAUAAAUUUAAAAAUGAGAGCCUCCUCGUUUUGUUCUCUUGUUACCUUGCCUUCUGUUUUUGUUCUCUUUUCUUCCCUUGACAACUUAGUGUAUUUACUGUAAGAUGUUGAAUUCCCAUGAUGGGGGUGACACUAUAAAUUGAAAAUACAACAUCAAACAGAGAGAGAUGAAGGCAAUGCUUUCCUCUAAUUUAAAAAAUAGAAGUAUUGUAACAGGUAGCCAUGCUAUUAUUAACCAUCAUCAUAAUGCAACUAAUAGUUAACGAAUGCCAUGUACUUCCCAGGUGUUAAAUCCUAUAUGAUACUUAAGACAUGUCCUUUUACUUUUUUUAAACCUCCAUUUUACAGGUGAAGAAACUGAGGUUAUAGAGAGUUUAUACAGCUUGCCCAAGGCCCACAGCCAGUAAUGGUGCAGCAGACUUCACACUCUUGUCAGAUGACACCCAAGCCCAUAUCAUGCUGUCUCUCUGCCUUAGGAAUGCACAUGUGGUCUGUGAGGUACAGUGGGGAGAACUUGGUGUUCUCAAUAAAACUGGAUACAAUAAAUACACAAAAAUCAGUGCAGUCUGAUAUCAUGUUGCACAAUAAAUGUAAAAAGAAGAAUAGAUACAUGGCUCUAAUUAGUAUCACUUUUUUGUAGUCAAACCAAUUUUUUUUUACCAUUUCUUUUCUCAUUUUGUUAGUUUACAAAUCUCUCUGAUCAUUUGUUAAAAUGAGCACUUGCCCCUGAAACCUGGAAGGUUAUUUCUGAUUCCCCACAGGACAUGCACAUGGUGUCAAAAUCAAAGACUCCCCACACUCCCUACAGUAGGACCUGGGUGUUGCUAGGCAGUUCCCAGUUCAUCCCCUCCAAGAUCAAACUGUAAAUAAUUAUCAUCCCAAUGCAAAUGUAUUCAAGAUCUUCCAUGCUAUCCAGUUUCUAUAACAUAGAGAGAUUCAGAUUUUCAACUUUGGAAUUUCAUAGGCCAGUGUUUGGAUUCCCAUUCUGCAACUUUCUAAUUCUGUGACCUUGGGAUAUAUAAUAUUUCUAAACUUCAGUAUUCCUAUCUAUAAAAUGGGGAUAACAAUAGCACUUAGUAGAGUUAUUAGAAUUAAAUGAGCUAAAGUGCAAAAGCACUUAGUAUGAUAUUUGAUAUAUUAAGAGCUCAAAAACUGUUAGCUGUUACCAUAUUAAUACUAAAAUAUUAGUCUCUUAUUUUUCUCUUACACAGUGAGAGAUGGCAAGAAAUGGCUGGAUGAAUCCUCUGAAAUAUCCAAUACAAUUUUUGUGUGAUAUUUAGAUCUUUUUUCCAGAGGUAACAUUAUGUUUCAUAAAUCCUAUAAUGAAAUGCUAAGCCAACUUGGCAGGUGAAACCACUGCCCUCCCCCCUACG